AUAAGAUGCCCUCCUUCUAAAUUCCAGAGUAUACAAGCCUAGCCGCUCCAUUCUCUCAGCAUUUGACAGUCCUGCCAUCCCAGGGAUUAACUUUGUAAACCUAUGCUGCACUCCCUAUUCUAUUUUAAGACAUCAAGAUGUACUCUUUCUUUCGUAAACAAGGUUUCCCCUCUGCUGUUGUAGAUGUAUCCGUCACCCAUGUCUCCUGUAUGUCCCGCAGUUUUGCCUUUGCACCCCCUUCCUCCAGACGGAACAAGGAUAGAGUUGCCCUGGUCCUAACCUCUCAUCAGCCUCCUCACACAACACAUCGUUCCCCGACAUUUCUGCCACCUUUAACAUGAUUUCCCCCCCCACCCCACCCCCCAGUCAUUUCUUAUUAUCCUCACUCUUUGCUUAGAGACCUCCCCUUCUGCAACUCCUUGGUUCACUCAUAAUCCUAGCUCCCAAACUGCCCCCUUCCCAGGUACAGUCCACUGCAAACACAGGAGAUAUAACAACUGUUCCAAUACCUCAACCCACAGAUCCAUCCAGGGACCUCAACAGCCUUUCAAGGUGAAACAGAGGUUCCAUGCACCUCCCAUUUACUGCAUUCAAUACUCCCGAUGUGGCCUUUUUUACAUCAGUUAGACCAAUUAUAGUCUAGGCGACCAUUUUGCCAAACACAUGCUCGAUACGCCAAGGCCUGCUGGACAUCCUGCUUACUUACUAUUUUAACUAUCUUUCCCAUACCGCCCUUUCUAUCCUGGGCCUCCAUUGUCAGAGCAAAGGCACAGACAAGCUAGAGGAACAGCAGCUCAUGUUCCACUUGGGUAAUAUACAACUAAACAGUGUGAACAUUGACUUGUCCAAUUUUCCCCCCCUCUCUAUCCUGUGCCGCUCCUGCUGCGCACACAUUUCUCCUAUUAUUCUGGCCCCUCCAUCCCCUUCCACCUAAAUCCCUACCUCUGGCUUUUCAUUUCACACCUCUCCUUUUGUCUGCUAUUCAUCUCUUGCUGUUGUCCAGCUAUCUGCCAGUUAAAUCCCCCAUGCCACCAUCCACCUAUCAUUUGUCAGGCUUUGCUCCACUCCUACCUUUUCCAUCUGUCCCUUCUACAAUUAAUCUGAAGAAGGAUCGCAACUGGAAACAUCAUCUAUCCAGGUCCUCCAAAGAUGCGCCCGAUCUGCCGAGUUACUUUUGGAAUUGCAAACGAGCAAUCUGUUUGGACACUACUUCAUUAUCAUCCUUCAUAUAUCAAUGUGGAGUAUUAAAUGUAGUUAGGCUAUUGUCUCUCCACAUUUCACCCCAAGCAUGUCCUCACCAUGUAUUUCCUGGAAUGUUAUUUCAUGUAACACAUACCCCAAAGCAGAUCAACAAAACUAAUCAGAAAUUACAAAAGCCCUGAAUGUAAGUGUGAUCAGAAAACUAAGCAGAAACCAGGCACUGAACCCAGUCUAUAUGUACGCCAACAUCUCAACAGUUAAGCAUUUAUGAUAAUGCCACUGGUACAGGAGGAUGUUACCUUGCCAAUACAUUCAUUUGCUUUAUCCUGUUGUUUCAGUUUUCUUCUUCCUGUAAUUUUUUUUUAAGUCAGUACAGCUAUUUAAAAACAUAAAUGUAAACAUUGUAAUAUGAAACGCUAUUUUGGAAUUUGGAAGCAGAACAUAGAUAAGGUCAAUGUAAAAGCAUUUAAAUACGAUGUCGCUGAUGACCCAGGACUGCAGAUUAUAUGAAUGAUAACAACGGUGUCUCAAUAUAAAUUGUUUACGAGUAUAAAUGGUCACAAUUUCGCACUGUCAGUGACAAUACCAUUUAUGCACUUCUGAGUAUAUAAAGAAAAUUACCCAAGGAAUAAUUACAGCAGUUGCAGCAAUAUAAUAUUUAACUUAUCUUGUAAAUAAAGUAUUUCUCAUUCAAA